CCCAAUUUUCUGCAAUAAAGCGUAAACUUCACCAUAGAAUUUUGAGAUAACAUAUGAGAAGAUAGCUUUAACAGUAUGCUUUCAGUUAAGAAAAAGAAAAAAUGGGGUCACCGGACCCGUUUUCUUGCUACAUUAUAAAAUAGGUAAAUUCCUAACACAUUCUAUUGUAAAAGUACCUUAAUCUGAAUUAUCUGCCCUUGCAUUUGAGUUGCCUCCCUUUAUGUGACAAAGUUGGAAAAAAUUUAAUCAAACGAAAGUGUUCUG
rnacentral:lncRNA from 1 species